rnacentral:rRNA from 1 species
GGUUAAGCGACUAAGCGUACACGGUGGAUGCCCUGGCAGUCAGAGGCGAUGAAGGGCGUGCUAAUCUGCGAUAAGCGCCGGUAAGGUGAUAUGAACCGUUAUAACCGGCGAUACCCGAAUGGGGAAACCCAGUGUGACUCGUCACACUAUCAUUAACUGAAUCCAUAGGUUAAUGAGGCGAACCGGGGGAACUGAAACAUCUAAGUACCCCGAGGAAAAGAAAUCAACCGAGAUUCCCCCAGUAGCGGCGAGCGAACGGGGAGGAGCCCAGAGCCUGAAUCAGCAUGUGUGUUAGUGGAAGCGUCUGGAAAGGCGCGCGAUACAGGGUGACAGCCCCGUACACAAAAGCGCAUGUGCUGUGAGCUCGAUGAGUAGGGCGGGACACGUGGUAUCCUGUCUGAAUAUGGGGGGACCAUCCUCCAAGGCUAAAUACUCCUGACUGACCGAUAGUGAACCAGUACCGUGAGGGAAAGGCGAAAAGAACCCCGGCGAGGGGAGUGAAAAAGAACCUGAAACCGUGUACGUACAAGCAGUGGGAGCACCCUUUGGGGUGUGACUGCGUACCUUUUGUAUAAUGGGUCAGCGACUUAUAUUCUGUAGCAAGGUUAACCGUAUAGGGGAGCCGUAGGGAAACCGAGUCUUAACCGGGCGUUAAGUUGCAGGGUAUAGACCCGAAACCCGGUGAUCUAGCCAUGGGCAGGUUGAAGGUUGGGUAACACUAACUGGAGGACCGAACCGACUAAUGUUGAAAAAUUAGCGGAUGACCUGUGGCUGGGGGUGAAAGGCCAAUCAAACCGGGAGAUAGCUGGUUCUCCCCGAAAGCUAUUUAGGUAGCGCCUCGUGAAUUCAUCUCCGGGGGUAGAGCACUGUUUCGGCUAGGGGGCCAUCCCGGCUUACCAACCCGAUGCAAACUGCGAAUACCGGAGAAUGUUAUCACGGGAGACACACGGCGGGUGCUAACGUCCGUCGUGAAGAGGGAAACAACCCAGACCGCCAGCUAAGGUCCCAAAGUCAUGGUUAAGUGGGAAACGAUGUGGGAAGGCCCAGACAGCCAGGAUGUUGGCUUAGAAGCAGCCAUCAUUUAAAGAAAGCGUAAUAGCUCACUGGUCGAGUCGGCCUGCGCGGAAGAUGUAACGGGGCUAAACCAUGCACCGAAGCUGCGGCAGCGACACUGUGUGUUGUUGGGUAGGGGAGCGUUCUGUAAGCCUGUGAAGGUGUGUCGUGAGGCAUGCUGGAGGUAUCAGAAGUGCGAAUGCUGACAUAAGUAACGAUAAAGCGGGUGAAAAGCCCGCUCGCCGGAAGACCAAGGGUUCCUGUCCAACGUUAAUCGGGGCAGGGUGAGUCGACCCCUAAGGCGAGGCCGAAAGGCGUAGUCGAUGGGAAACGGGUUAAUAUUCCCGUACUUGGUGUUACUGCGAAGGGGGGACGGAGAAGGCUAUGUUGGCCGGGCGACGGUUGUCCCGGUUUAAGCGUGUAGGUGUGUGUUCCAGGUAAAUCCGGUUCACUUUAACACUGAGGCGUGAUGACGAGGCACUACGGUGCUGAAGCAACAAAUGCCCUGCUUCCAGGAAAAGCCUCUAAGCAUCAGGUAACAUCAAAUCGUACCCCAAACCGACACAGGUGGUCAGGUAGAGAAUACCAAGGCGCUUGAGAGAACUCGGGUGAAGGAACUAGGCAAAAUGGUGCCGUAACUUCGGGAGAAGGCACGCUGACACGUAGGUGAAGUGAUUUACUCACGGAGCUGAAGUCAGUCGAAGAUACCAGCUGGCUGCAACUGUUUAUUAAAAACACAGCACUGUGCAAACACGAAAGUGGACGUAUACGGUGUGACGCCUGCCCGGUGCCGGAAGGUUAAUUGAUGGGGUCAGCGCAAGCGAAGCUCCUGAUCGAAGCCCCGGUAAACGGCGGCCGUAACUAUAACGGUCCUAAGGUAGCGAAAUUCCUUGUCGGGUAAGUUCCGACCUGCACGAAUGGCGUAAUGAUGGCCAGGCUGUCUCCACCCGAGACUCAGUGAAAUUGAACUCGCUGUGAAGAUGCAGUGUACCCGCGGCAAGACGGAAAGACCCCGUGAACCUUUACUAUAGCUUGACACUGAACAUUGAGCCUUGAUGUGUAGGAUAGGUGGGAGGCUUUGAAGCGUGGACGCCAGUCUGCGUGGAGCCAACCUUGAAAUACCACCCUUUAAUGUUUGAUGUUCUAACGUGGACCCGUGAUCCGGGUUGCGGACAGUGUCUGGUGGGUAGUUUGACUGGGGCGGUCUCCUCCUAAAGAGUAACGGAGGAGCACGAAGGUUGGCUAAUCCUGGUCGGACAUCAGGAGGUUAGUGCAAUGGCAUAAGCCAGCUUGACUGCGAGCGUGACGGCGCGAGCAGGUGCGAAAGCAGGUCAUAGUGAUCCGGUGGUUCUGAAUGGAAGGGCCAUCGCUCAACGGAUAAAAGGUACUCCGGGGAUAACAGGCUGAUACCGCCCAAGAGUUCAUAUCGACGGCGGUGUUUGGCACCUCGAUGUCGGCUCAUCACAUCCUGGGGCUGAAGUAGGUCCCAAGGGUAUGGCUGUUCGCCAUUUAAAGUGGUACGCGAGCUGGGUUUAGAACGUCGUGAGACAGUUCGGUCCCUAUCUGCCGUGGGCGCUGGAGAACUGAGGGGGGCUGCUCCUAGUACGAGAGGACCGGAGUGGACGCAUCACUGGUGUUCGGGUUGUCAUGCCAAUGGCACUGCCCGGUAGCUAAAUGCGGAAGAGAUAAGUGCUGAAAGCAUCUAAGCACGAAACUUGCCCCGAGAUGAGUUCUCCCUGAGACUUAAAGUCUCCUGAAGGAACGUUGAAGACGACGACGUUGAUAGGCCGGGUGUGUAAGCGCAGCGAUGCGUUGAGCUAACCGGUACUAAUGAACCGUGAGGCUUAACCUU